GUAUGCUUCUUCGGAAGUAGAGACCGGCGCACGGGUGCGUAACGCGUAUGCAAUCUACCUUUUACAGAGGGAUAGCCCAGAGAAAUUUGGAUUAAUACCUCAUAGUAUAGCUGAAUCGCAUGAUUCUACUAUUAAAGUCACAACGGUAAAAGAUGAGCAUGCGUCCCAUUAGCUAGUUGGUAAGGUAACGGCUUACCAAGGCUACGAUGGGUAGGGGUCCUGAGAGGGAGAUCCCCCACACUGGUACUGAGACACGGACCAGACUCCUACGGGAGGCAGCAGUGAGGAAUAUUGGACAAUGGGCGCAAGCCUGAUCCAGCCAUGCCGCGUGCAGGAUGACGGUCCUAUGGAUUGUAAACUGCUUUUAUACGAGAAGAAACACUGCUUCGUGAAGCAGCUUGACGGUAUCGUAAGAAUAAGGAUCGGCUAACUCCGUGCCAGCAGCCGCGGUAAUACGGAGGAUCCAAGCGUUAUCCGGAAUCAUUGGGUUUAAAGGGUCCGUAGGCGGUUUAAUAAGUCAGUGGUGAAAGCCCAUCGCUCAACGGUGGAACGGCCAUUGAUACUGUUAAACUUGAAUUAUUAGGAAGUAACUAGAAUAUGUAGUGUAGCGGUGAAAUGCUUAGAGAUUACAUGGAAUACCAAUUGCGAAGGCAGGUUACUACUAAUGGAUUGACGCUGAUGGACGAAAGCGUGGGUAGCGAACAGGAUUAGAUACCCUGGUAGUCCACGCCGUAAACGAUGGAUACUAGCUGUUGGGAGCAAUCUCAGUGGCUAAGCGAAAGUGAUAAGUAUCCCACCUGGGGAGUACGUUCGCA
rnacentral:rRNA from 1 species